UAACUUUUGGUACACUUGUUAUGUCAUCCAACAAAUGGGUUUAUCAUUGUUUUAUAACAAUUGGUAUAUCUAUGUCUUGUUGGUAUUUCUUGAUAAAUUUCUGAUUAAGGGGAAAUAGAUUGCAUGAAGUUUACUAUCUUUUUGAUGACAAAAUUUCAAAACAACUCUCUGUAUUGGCAAUGUUAUUUUCUUUAAACUCUCAUGCCACUAAUAUCUUUCAAUCCAAAUCUUGUGGAAAAUGAUAUCUUAGAAAAUAUUUGUAUUACUUUGGAGCAACUAAUAAGUGUCAUGCAAGGAAUCUGUAAUUGCAUUUGAG
rnacentral:lncRNA from 1 species